rnacentral:lncRNA from 13 species
AAAACUUCCUAUGUAAGAGAAAAUUUCCUGGAUGAAAUACCAGGGAAGAGGCAGAGCAUUGGUAAAACAAAGGUCUUUCUUCCGAGUGAUGCUCUCUGCUCUGGUGUGGUCAUGUUCUGUCAGGAAGACACAGGGAAGCAGAUGGCAGUUUCCCUGUUCAGCAGUGAUGAGGACUUCCUGGAAUUGCUGAAGUUAUAUACAUCACAAGCAGGGCUUUGGGGAUCCUACUACACGUUCUUUAGUGUCAUUAUUGCCUUCUCGUAGUGUGACUUUUCUGUAAAUGAUAAUACCAAUUUUGCACACAUUCUUCAAAAUAUGAGGGUAAAUUCUAUUGUUUUGCUUCUGUCAUCUCCUUCCCCCUAGUUUUCCUUCAAAUGUAAGUUCUUUAUCAACAUACUAAUUUCUGAAAGACUGCUAAAGUCAUAUUCCUACUUGUGGCUUUGGUGGAACUCAUUAUGGGGAGGGCUCCCACAGGUGUUGAGUAUGUUAUCUGAAAGGACUGGAAGCAUGUGGGCUGCAUCUUCAACCAAUAGCAGAAAAGUUUGCAUGCCAAGUGCCGUUCUGUUGUCCAUUCCUGUCAUGUGAAUCUGGUUCCUCAUUUGAUUCUUAAUUACCUUUGUGUGAAAGUCCUCCUUGUACCGGUAAAUGAGCAUAUGAUAAACAACAAUAAAAUGUUUUUUAAUUAGUUUGAAGUGUAAAUU